ensembl:lncRNA
CUUGUAGUCGGACAGGACAGAGUGGAAAGGAAUGGACAUUAAACCACUGGCCCCUCAGCACCAAAACGAACACGCUAAACAAGCUGAUAUCACAUUGGACAAGAAUGAUAAUGGACAUUGCAUUCAUCAACCAAUAGUUUGUGAUUAAGGAAGUUGGCCUUGCCAAAUCAGAGGGCUCUUAUGUCAUCCAGAGGUUACGUAACAGGAAGAAGAAGUGAGGUCGUCUUGGAUUCAUCCAGCGUCAUCAUCACCCAGGACAGCAAAUCCACGGAUGACGCCAUCGCACUGCACACUCCCCUA